AACGAACGCUGGCGGCAUGCCUAACACAUGCAAGUCGAACGAUUGCCUUCGGGUGAUAGUGGCGCACGGGUGCGUAACGCGUGGGAAUCUGCCCUUGGGUUCGGAAUAACAGCUGGAAACGGCUGCUAAUACCGGAUGAUAUCGCGAGAUCAAAGAUUUAUCGCCUGAGGAUGAGCCCGCGUUGGAUUAGGUAGUUGGUGGGGUAAAGGCCUACCAAGCCGACGAUCCAUAGCUGGUCUGAGAGGAUGAUCAGCCACACUGGGACUGAGACACGACCCAGACUCCUACGGGAGGCAGCAGUGGGGAAUAUUGGACAAUGGGCGCAAGCUUGAUCCAGCAAUGCCGCGUGAGUGAUGAAGGCCCUAGGGUUGUAAAGCUCUUUUACCCGGGAAGAUAAUGACUGUACCGGGAGAAUAAGCCCCGGCUAACUCCGUGCCAGCAGCCGCAGUAA
rnacentral:rRNA from 1 species